CCUCUUAGUAUUAACAAAGAAAAAUACCACUCAAGGUUUCAAGUGUUUUGCUUAUUAAGCACUUGACUGAUUGCUUCAGACUGGCAAGUGACACGGUGAAAGAUGGUUAAUGCUGUUGCCUUCAUUGGAAUUAGUACAAGAUUGAAGUUGAGCUUGUAGCUGCUAUCUUUGCCAGCAUCUCAGCACCCCAUUGUGACUCAGUCUAUGAUGAGGAUUUUGCUGCAGCAUCGUCCAGCCUGCCACUUCCCCAGUAUCUGCCUCUGCCUUGCACACACUCUCCCAUGGCAUGCACAGGUGGACAGCAUGGCAGUGGGCAUUUUGUGAUGUCUGAGGUGUGAUUUUCACCAAAAAAACCCCAAUCUAAAAACACCCUAAAAGUGCAAAUGAAGCCAAUUUUGUAACCUCCCCUGUUUAAUGCCAGUGGCGAAUGGGGCAAUGCUCAAGAUCUCAGUUUCUUUAACAGAAUGGAAAAAAACAUUUCCCAACUAGUCCUGCCUAAUUACAGCCCCAUUAAUGAGAGAACUGAGUGUACUGAGCCACUGGCAAAUGAAGCUGCCACAAUGGAAAAACUGGGAAAGGCUGUGGAUUUCAUGGCCUGUACCACUGCCAGGCUGGAUCACCUAUGGUAGGUCUCGUGGGGAACUAGUCCAGAUAUCACAAGCGCGCAUUUACAAACAUGCCUGAUAGUGUAUUUCUGCUUUUCCAGGGGUGUGAUAACUGACAGUAUGUUAUGGCACCUCCAGCCAUCCCCUGUCCAGCGCUCAUCCCCAGGGCUUCACUCACUCCCUGUUUUGCCAUCAAGCACAGCCUGGCCUAUACUGGCAGAUCUCUGCUCUUGCAGCAGAUUGCCAGCAACUCUAAACUGACAAGCCAGAACAAAGAAAUCAUCAUCAAGCUGGCCUAAAAGAAAAUAAUCAUUGGGUUAGGUGUUUCAAAGUAACACCACAGACUAGAAAAUCCCCUGGACUCGUUGCUCUGAGUUUGUAAUUCUUUGGCAAGAGGUGCCAAAUUAAGGUGCAAUACGCAAGCUGGGGUGUAUACAAAACACGUACAUG